UCAGGUCGGUUUAGUCUGGUGUUCCAUCUGUAUGUAAUGGUGAUUUAACAGUGCUAAUCUUGAUUUUGUGCGUUUGGAUCUCUGACUUGGGAAUUAUUUUUCUUAAGCGAGGAAGGAAGACGCAAUCUGUGUGGAAACAUUUGUAUAUCGUGGAUUGCAACUACUCACCAGGUACAGGUUCAUCAAUCGAACUUGUGCAAUUUAAUAUUGAAUAGUUGAAUGCAAUAGAAUUGAUCUUUUACACCAAGCUGUGCAGUUUUUUUAAUAAACAAUUUCUUUAUUAAAUAGUAGCCGAAGGAUUUAGGGGUAAAGUAAUCCUCAUCUGGUGCUAUUGAAUGAAAUUAUCAGUAAUGGGCAAUCAAUUUCCCGGACGAGACUUCAUUUUUUCUGACUUUGUUUAAUUUUAUUUUGCAUCUGUGUAGUAAUUAACGAAAUUUGAAGUUAGGCAUUAACGAAAUUUGAAGUUAGGCUAAAAGGAUCGAUAAUUUACAUAUAUGCAUGUGUUCAUUAAACAAUGUAAACAAAGGAUUGGUACCGGUGUAAGUGCACAAGUACAUGGAUUUACAACAAGGCAGAGAUUUGAACAAGAUGAUACCUAAAUUAUAAACAGGAAUUACUAAGAGAAUCAUUGGUAAUGGCUUUUGAAAUGAUUGGUACAAAUUUGAGAUGAUUCGUUUUUUAAUUCUCUUAAACCUUUUCUUGCUGGGAUCAGAUCAGAAUGAUGGGACGAUUCCAUAGCCACCUUCUUCUAUUAGCGUUGAUGAGAACAUCUGGUUGG
rnacentral:lncRNA from 1 species